CGGUGUUCAUAACCAAAAUAUGAAAUAUGAUGAUCGAAAGAUAUGAAGCAUUGAUUCAAUUCUUUCCCCUUUGUGGUUCGCCACGUUGGGUAAUCUGAUUUCAUUGUUCUACUGAGACCAGUGUAUUACAGAAGCUCAGUUUCAAUGUUUAAUUACUUAAUCAGGGUUAUUUCCAUGUCCUGGCCGUUUUACUGAGGAGGUCAGAUCAGUGUCGAAAGGGCAGAGAAAACUUGGACACUUGGCCUGUGUGUCUGUUC